GGCGCUUCAGCGGCGAGUGCUGUUUCCGCCCCAGACCCGGUUCAAACGCUGCUGCCGACGCGCACUGUAUAGCUGCAUAAGCUGCUCGUAGGGCACGUCCAGCAUCUGGUCCAGGCCCACACCGCGAAAAAAAGGUUUACCACAGUGGCUCAAGGAAAACGGAACCAGAGUAAGACAGUUUCUACUUGGACUUGGGGAACCAGCAAACUCAUUCACUUACAAUCAAGAACAAACCGAUUAAAUUGAAUAAAGGUCACUCAAAGGAGCCAAGCCCCUUUGUCAAAUCAGGAGCUCCAUCAGCCAAUCAGGAACCCAGAUGCCAGCGUGGGAGUUUGUCAGUGGAAAUAACAUUGCAUGACUUCCAAGUCUGGGUAAGAAAAGGUGACAUAUCUAUCCCCGGCUUUCUUGGGACAGGUAGCUACCUUGAACUCUGGGCCUCCAUUCUGGAGCAGCUACUUAGACACAGAGGGAGAUGCCCAAGAAGUCCUAGGCUGCUCUAUCCUCCCACCUGUUUUAGUACCUACAUCAACAUGAAUGAAUAGACUUGAGAUAGUCUCAGCUUCCAGUCCCCAGUUCCUAGCCGGUAAUGAGUAGAGCGGAGACAAACUGUUAUACCAAUCCUUGUCCAAAUUGCAGAUUCGUGAGCAAAAUGUUGUUUUAAUUCACAGCAAUAGUUAUUGGGAAAAAUGACCAAUUUGUUUGUUUCUGUAUGUAUGAAUGUUUUGCUUAUCUGGAAUGUUCGUCAGUUAACUACAUGGGUACCAAACUUUGCUCAACUUGAAAACUAACUAUGUGUCUGAUAGUACUCCAAAAGUCAUUGUUAAACAGUUAGCACCCAGUAACAUUUUCCUACAAAUACAUGUUUAAUGAACCUUAGAUAUAAUGUAGAUUAGUCUUUAAAAAAAAAAAACAAGCUCAGAGGAGUCAUGUAACUUUCCUCACAUUUUACAGAAAAAUGAUACCAUUGGUUCAACUAGCUAUAUUUGCUUCCCUGAUGUUUUACAGAAUACUUACUAAAGAAUAUUCCCUUAGCAUAUUGUAGCUGCCUUCAUUAUUCCACCAUUAGACUGUGGUUUGAUUACUGCUCUAUUACCCACUCCUACUAGACUAUUCUCUUCUGGACAGCAGGCAUAUUUGUAUUAUUCAUUCCCGUAUACCUAGAAACUGGCAUGUCCUCAAUUAGUUAAAUGCCUCUUGAUAAAAGAUUAUUUGGAAUCUUUUUGGAUGGAUAUAGGUCAGUGGUUCUCAGUACAGAAAUACUUAGGUUAAGGCCACAGUCCUGCAGACUGAUUGAAUUGGCUUAGAGUGGAACCUAGGUCUCUGUGAAUUUUAAAAGCUCCUAAGCUAAGUCCCUUCAAGUAGCUCUGUUGUCAUGUGUAGCUACCAAUUGUGUUUCCACAGGUAGAUCAUGUCCCCAACACUGUUUCUACACAAAAGCAAUGACCUACAAAAGGUCUCUUGGAGGAUGAGUUUUGUUUUUUUUUUUUUAAUCUCCAUUCAUAACUCAUUGUCUGAUCAAUAGUUAUGGUAACUGGACAUUGGAAGGCAGGAACAGGAGAGGUGGCAAAAGUAGUAUCCAAUAUGAAGCAAAUUUUCCCACCACCACACAUCUAGGUUGGUUUGUUUUAACCUCCCAGAAGCUGACCUUUUGGCCAUCUAAGUACUCUAAGUAAACCAUGAUGCCUAAGGGAGCAGCUUGGCUUCUGAAAUACCACUUGAUCUAUAAAGUUUGGCCCUGGGGUUUUGUCUACCCUGGAAUCAGAUGCAGAAGAAAGGGAAAUAGAUAGUUACACUAUUUUAAUUUGAUCCUGAAAAAACACUGCAAUGGAGUCUGCCGAAGGCUGUGAACUAUGUUAACUUCCAAGAAAAAAA
ensembl:lncRNA novel transcript